AUCUCUUCGGAGACGUAUGAUAAAAUUGUAACGAUACAGAGUAGGUUAGCAUCGCCCCUGUGCGCUUGGAUGAUGUGCAUAAAUUGAGAAAUGGUCUAAAUUUUU